AUGAACGCUGGCGGCGUGCCUAAUACAUGCCAGUCGAGCGAACAGAUGAGGAGCUUGCUCCUCUGACGUUAGCGGCGGACGGGUGAGUAACACGUGGAUAACCUACCUAUAAGACUGGGAUAACUUCGGGAAACCGGAGCUAAUACCGGAUAAUAUAUUGAACCGCAUGGUUCAAUAGUGAAAGACGGUUUUGCUGUCACUUAUAGAUGGAUCCGCGCCGCAUUAGCUAGUUGGUAAGGUAACGGCUUACCAAGGCAACGAUGCGUAGCCGACCUGAGAGGGUGAUCGGCACACGGGGAAAGAGGAACAGGGCCAAACCCCUAGGGGAGGCACCGUGAGGAAUUCUUCCGGAAUGGGCAAAAGCUUAGCGGGGAAACGCGGCGGGAGGAAGAAAGGGUUUCGGAUCGUAAAACUUUUUUAUUGGGGAAAAACAAAUGUUUAAGAAACGAGGCGAGUUUUAACGGAACCGAAGAAAAAGGCCAGGGCUAACUAGGG
rnacentral:rRNA from 1 species